AGCCCAGACUCCUACGGGAGGCAGCAGUGGGGAAUAUUGCACAAUGGGCGAAAGCCUGAUGCAGCAACGCCGCGUGAACGAAGAAGGCUCUUGGGUCGUAAAGUUCUGUUCUGAGGGAAGAAGAAAGUGACGGUACCUCAGGAGAAAGCCCCGGCUAACUACGUGCCAGCAGCCGCGGUAAUACGUAGGUGGCGAGCGUUAUCCGGAAUGAUUGGGCGUAAAGGGUGCGCAGGCGGUCCUGCAAGUCUGGAGUGAAACGCAUGAGCUCAACUCAUGCAUGGCUUUGGAAACUGGAGGACUGGAGAGCAGGAGAGGGCGGUGGAACUCCAUGUGUAGCGGUAAAAUGCGUAGAUAUAUGGAAGAACACCAGUGGCGAAGGCGGCCGCCUGGCCUGUUGCUGACGCUGAGGCACGAAAGCGUGGGGAGCAAAUAGGAUUAGAUACCCCAGUA
rnacentral:rRNA from 1 species